rnacentral:rRNA from 1 species
GACGAACGCUGGCGGCGUGCUUAACACAUGCAAGUCGAACGGAAAGGCCCUGCUUUUGUGGGGUGCUCGAGUGGCGAACGGGUGAGUAACACGUGAGUAACCUGCCCUUGACUUUGGGAUAACUUCAGGAAACUGGGGCUAAUACCGGAUAGGAGCUCCUGCUGCAUGGUGGGGGUUGGAAAGUUUCGGCGGUUGGGGAUGGACUCGCGGCUUAUCAGCUUGUUGGUGGGGUAGUGGCUUACCAAGGCUUUGACGGGUAGCCGGCCUGAGAGGGUGACCGGCCACAUUGGGACUGAGAUACGGCCCAGACUCCUACGGGAGGCAGCAGUGGGGAAUAUUGCACAAUGGGCGGAAGCCUGAUGCAGCAACGCCGCGUGCGGGAUGACGGCCUUCGGGUUGUAAACCGCUUUCGCCUGUGACGAAGCGUGAGUGACGGUAAUGGGUAAAGAAGCACCGGCUAACUACUUGCCAGCAGCCGCGGUGAUACGUAAGGUGCGAGCGUUGUCCGGAUUUAUUGGGCGUAAAGGGCUCGUAGGUGGUUGAUCGCGUCGGAAGUGUAAUCUUGGGGCUUAACCCUGAGCGUGCUUUCGAUACGGGUUGACUUGAGGAAGGUAGGGGAGAAUGUAAUUCCUGGUGGAGCGGUGGAAUGUCCAGAUAUCUGGAGGAACACCAGUUGGCGAAGGCGGUUCUUCUGGGCCUUUCCUGACGCUGAGGAGCGAAAGCGUGGGGAGCGAACAGGCUUAGAUACCCUGGUAGUCCACGCUGUAAACGGUGGGUACUAGGUGUGGGGUCCAUUCCACGGGUUCCGUGCCGUAGCUAACGCUUUAAGUACCCCGCCUGGGGAGUACGGCCGCAAGGCUAAAACUCAAAGGAAUUGACGGGGCCCCGCACAAGCGGCGGAGCAUGCGGAUUAAUUCGAUGCAACGCGUAGAACCUUACCUGGGUUUGACAUGGAUCGGGAGUGCUCAGAGAUGGGUGUGCCUCUUUUGGGGUCGGUUCACAGGUGGUGCAUGCCUGUCGUCAGCUCGUGUCGUGAGAUGUUGGGUUAAGUCCCGCAACGAGCGCAACCCUUGUUCACUGUUGCCAGCACGUUAUGGUGGGGACUCAGUGGAGACCGCCGGGGUCAACUCGGAGGAAGGUGGGGAUGACGUCAAGUCAUCAUGCCCCUUAUGUCCAGGGCUUCACGCAUGCUACAAUGGCUGGUACAGAGAGUGGCGAGCCUGUGAGGGUGAGCGAAUCUCGGAAAGCCGGUCUCAGUUCGGAUUGGGGUCUGCAACUCGACCUCAUGAAGUCGGAGUCGCUAGUAAUCGCAGAUCAGCAACGCUGCGGUGAAUAAAAUCCCGGGGCU